UCUCUGAUGGUCCAGUGGUUAAGACUCUGUGCUUCCAACGCAGGGGUCACAGGUUUGAUCUCUGGUCAGGGAA
rnacentral:tRNA from 1 species